GUCUAGAUAUUCUCAAAUUGCCACCAAAG
rnacentral:piRNA from 1 species